UACGGAGGGUGCAAGCGUUAAUCGGAAUUACUGGGCGUAAAGCGUGCGCAGGCGGUUUGUUAAGUCUGCUGUGAAAUCCCCGAGCUCAACUUGGGAAUUGCAGUGGAUACUGGCAGGCUGGAGUAUGGUAGAGGAAGGUGGAAUUCCCGGUGUAGCAGUGAAAUGCGUAGAGAUCGGGAGGAACACCAGUGGCGAAGGCGGCCUUCUGGACCAAUACUGACGCUGAUGCACGAAAGCUGGGGGAGCAAACAGG
rnacentral:rRNA from 1 species